AUAAAGGAGCAUUCCAAGUGUGUUAUGGUUCAACACCAAUGAGAUAAACAGCCUUUGAGAUAGCGGCGGAUUGUACUGGGUUUUCCCGGAUUUCCCAUACUAUGGAGGAGAGUUUGCAUGCCCGCCAAUAUAAAUGACUCUCUUUUUUCCUGUUCAAGUCAGCGAAAGGGAAGCACGGCCGGAAAACGUACGGCAGUCACCUAGUAAGUUCAUCAUGAAAGCCGUUCUGUGGCUGACGUUCCUGGCCCUUACAACGGUAGCCUUGUUCCACCUGGUGAAUUCAAGGUGUCACCGCUGGCUGGAGAAAACAAAGUAGAUGUGGCUGUGAAAGCGGGCAAGAAACUUGAAGUUCUCGGACGUGUGAUGCAAGGCAAAUUGCCUGAAAGCAGCGCCGAAGCUCAGAGGGAAGUUGCCGAUGCACUUGAAGCGCUCGCUGCUGGAGAAGUGGCCCUAGACAAAGAGUCCUCCGAGUACUGGGUGGGUGUCGUGGUGCGUGGAGUCAUCGGGGGCGCUGUUGCCCACGGCAUCGACAGGUGGAAGCGCAGGAAGGGUUAAUUAAUAAAUUUUCAACUCUUGA